rnacentral:rRNA from 1 species
UGGCGAACGGGUGAGUAACACGUGGGUAAUCUGCCCUGCACUUCGGGAUAAGCCUGGGAAACUGGGUCUAAUACCGGAUAGGACCUUUUGGCGCAUGCCUUUUGGUGGAAAGCUUUUGCGGUGUGGGAUGGGCCCGCGGCCUAUCAGCUUGUUGGUGGGGUGACGGCCUACCAAGGCGACGACGGGUAGCCGGCCUGAGAGGGUGUCCGGCCACACUGGGACUGAGAUACGGCCCAGACUCC